GUAAUGCUUUGGAAUCUUCCCAGGAGUGGGGAAUAACCAGUCGAAAGAUUUGGCUAAUACCGCAUACGUCUGUAAAGGGAAAGCGGGGGCUCGUAAGACCUCGCGCUAUUGGAUGAGCCAAAGUCGGAUUAGCUAGUUGGUGGGGUAAUGGCCUACCAAGGCGACAAUCCGUAGCUGGUCUGGAAAGGACGACCAGCCACACCGGAACUGAGACACGGUCCGGAACUCCUACGGGAGGCAGCAGUGGGGAAUAUUGGACAAUGGGGGAAACCCUGAUCCAGCGACGCCGCGUGUGUGAAGAAGGCCUGCGGGUUGUAAAGCACUUUUAGUGGGGACAAAAAGCUACGGACUAAUAUUCUGUGGUCUUGAUUUAACCCACAGAAAAAGCACCGGCUAACUCUGUGCCAGCAGCCGCGGUAAUACAGAGGGUGCAAGCGUUAAUCGGAAUUACUGGGCGUAAAGCGUGCGCAGACGGUUAUAUAAGUCGGGUGUGAAAGCCCCGGGCUCAACCUGGGAAUUGCAUUCGAGACUGUGUAGCUAGGGUACGGAAGAG
rnacentral:rRNA from 1 species